rnacentral:rRNA from 1 species
AAUAGAUACCCUGGUAGUCCUAGCCGUAAACGAUGAACACUAGGCGUAGUCGGUAUCGACCCCGGCUGUGCCGUAGCUAACGCAUUAAGUGUUCCGCCUGGGGAGUACGGCCGCAGGGCUAAAACUCAAAGGAAUUGACGGGGACCCGCACAAGCAGCGGAGCGUGUGGUUUAAUUCGUCGCAACGCGAAGAACCUUACCAGGGCUUGACAUGUGGCGGAAAACGGCGGAAACGUCGUCCUCCCGCAAGGGACCGUCAUGCAGGUGUUGCAUGGCUGUCGUCAGCUCGUGUCGUGAGAUGUUGGGUUAAGUCCCGCAACGAGCGCAACCCCCGUGGCAUGUUGUAUCUCUCAUGCCAGACUGCCGAGAGAAACUCGGAGGAAGGUGGGGAUGACGCCAAGUCAGCAUGGCCCUUACGUCCUGGGCUACACACACGCUACAAUGGCCGGUACAACGGGUUGCCAAACCGCGAGGUGGAGCUAAUCCCUUAAAGCCGGUCUCAGUUCGGACUGCAGGCUGCAACUCGCCUGCA